rnacentral:rRNA from 1 species
UCCUACGGGGGGCAGCAGUAGGGAAUAUUGCACAAUGGGCGAAAGCCUGAUGCAGCAACGCCGCGUGUGCGAUGAAGGCCUUCGGGUCGUAAAGCACUUUUCUGAGAGAUGAGAAAGGACAGUAUCUCAGGAAUAAGUCUCGGCUAACUACGUGCCAGCAGCCGCGGUAACACGUAGGAGGCGAGCGUUAUCCGGAUUCACUGGGCGUAAAGCGCGUGCAGGCGGUUUGGUAAGUUGAUCGUGAAAGCUCCCGGCUCAACUGGGAGAGGUCGGUCAAUACUACCAAACUAGAGAGUAGAAGAGGAAGAUGGAAUUCCCGGUGUAGUGGUGAAAUGCGUAGAUAUCGGGAGGAACACCAGUGGCGAAGGCGAUCUUCUGGUCUAUUUCUGACGCUCAGACGCGACAGCUAGGGUAGUAAACGGGAUUAGAUACCCCGGUAGC